GACGACAUGACAGCUCUCCAAAAGUGAAGCCAAAACAACUCGAUCGCCCCCUGGUGGCUGGCUGCAGUAUCGGUCAUAAAGCCUGCCCCCUCCAUGUCAGCGGAUGGGACAUGGGUCAAACAAAAAAGUCAAAGUCAAAUACACUUUUC